GGAGGAUUAGCUCAGCUGGGAGAGCAUCUGCCUUACAAGCAGAGGGCCGGCGGUUCGAUCCCGUCAUCCUCCACCA
rnacentral:tRNA from 1 species